GAUGAACGCUGGCGGCGUGCCUAAUACAUGCAAGUCGAACGAAACUUCUUUAUCACCGAGUGCUUGCACUCACCGAUAAAGAGUUGAGUGGCGAACGGGUGAGUAACACGUGGGCAACCUGCCCAAAAGAGGGGGAUAACACUUGGAAACAGGUGCUAAUACCGCAUAACCAUAGUUACCGCAUGGUAACUAUGUAAAAGGUGGCUAUACUACCGCUUUUGGAUGGGCCCGCGGCGCAUUAGCUAGUUGGUAGGGUAAAGGCUUACCAAGGCAAUGAUGCGUAGCCGAAUUGAGAGGUUGAUCGGCCACAUUGGGACUGAGACACGGCCCAAACUCCUACGGGAGGCAGCAGUAGGGAAUCUUCCACAAUGGGCGAAAGCCUGAUGGAGCAACGCCGCGUGGGUGAAGAAGGUCUUCGGAUCGUAAAACCCUGUUGUUAGAGAAGAAAGUGCGUGAGAGUAACUGUUCAUGUUUCGACGGUAUCUAACCAGAAAGCCACUGCUAACUACGUG
rnacentral:rRNA from 1 species